rnacentral:rRNA from 1 species
GAUGAACGCUGGCGGCGUGCCUAAUGCAUGCAAGUCGAGCGAACGGACGAGAAGCUUGCUUCUCUGAUGUUAGCGGCGGACGGGUGAGUAACACGUGGAUAACCUACCUAUAAGACUGGGAUAACUUCGGGAAACCGGAGCUAAUACCGGAUAAUAUUUUGAACCGCAUGGUUCAAAAGUGAAAGACGGUCUUGCUGUCACUUAUAGAUGGAUCCGCGCUGCAUUAGCUAGUUGGUAAGGUAACGGCUUACCAAGGCAACGAUGCAUAGCCGACCUGAGAGGGUGAUCGGCCACACUGGAACUGAGACACGGUCCAGACUCCUACGGGAGGCAGCAGUAGGGAAUCUUCCGCAAUGGGCGAAAGCCUGACGGAGCAACGCCGCGUGAGUGAUGAAGGUCUUCGGAUCGUAAAACUCUGUUAUUAGGGAAGAACAUAUGUGUAAGUAACUGUGCACAUCUUGACGGUACCUAAUCAGAAAGCCACGGCUAACUACGUGCCAGCAGCCGCGGUAAUACGUAGGUGGCAAGCGUUAUCCGGAAUUAUUGGGCGUAAAGCGCGCGUAGCGGUUUUUUAGUCUGAUGUGAAAGCCCACGGCUCAACCGUGGAGGGUCAUUGGAAACUGGAAAACUUGAGUGCAGAAGAGGAAAGUGGAAUUCCAUGUGUAGCGGUGAAAUGCGCAGAGAUAUGGAGGAACACCAGUGGCGAAGGCGACUUUCUGGUCUGUAACUGACGCUGAUGUGCGAAAGCGUGGGGAUCAAACAGGAUUAGAUACCCUGGUAGUCCACGCCGUAAACGAUGAGUGCUAAGUGUUAGGGGGUUUCCGCCCCUUAGUGCUGCAGCUAACGCAUUAAGCACUCCGCCUGGGGAGUACGACCGCAAGGUUGAAACUCAAAGGAAUUGACGGGGACCCGCACAAGCGGUGGAGCAUGUGGUUUAAUUCGAAGCAACGCGAAGAACCUUACCAAAUCUUGACAUCCUUUGACAACUCUAGAGAUAGAGCUUUCCCCUUCGGGGGACAAAGUGACAGGUGGUGCAUGGUUGUCGUCAGCUCGUGUCGUGAGAUGUUGGGUUAAGUCCCGCAACGAGCGCAACCCUUAAGCUUAGUUGCCAUCAUUAAGUUGGGCACUCUAAGUUGACUGCCGGUGACAAACCGGAGGAAGGUGGGGAUGACGUCAAAUCAUCAUGCCCCUUAUGAUUUGGGCUACACACGUGCUACAAUGGACAAUACAAAGGGCAGCGAAACCGCGAGGUCAAGCAAAUCCCAUAAAGUUGUUCUCAGUUCGGAUUGUAGUCUGCAACUCGACUACAUGAAGCUGGAAUCGCUAGUAAUCGUAGAUCAGCAUGCUACGGUGAAUACGUUCCCCGGUCU